rnacentral:ncRNA from 1 species
UACCUGGUUGAUCCUGCCAGUAGUCAUAUGCUUGUCUCAAAGAUUAAGCCAUGCAAGUCUAAGUACGAGCUCUCGUACAGUGAAACUGCGAAUGGCUCAUUAAAUCAGUUAUGGUUCAUUUGAUCGUACAGUUUACUUGGAUAACUGUGGUAAUUCUAGAGCUAAUACAUGCGAGAAGCGCCGACCUCGCGGGAGGCGUGCAUUUAUCAGACCAAAAACCGGCCGCGUCUUCGGGCGCGUUCGCCUUGGUGACUCUGGAUAACUUUGCGGAUCGCACGGUCUAGCACCGGCGACGGAUCAUUCAAGUGUCUGCCCUAUCAACUUUCGUCGGUACGGUAUUUGCCUACCGAGGUUCUUACGGGUGAACGGGGAAUCAGGGUUCGAUUCCGGAGAGGGAGCCUGAGAAACGGCUACCACAUCCAAGGAAGGCAGCAGGCGCGCAAAUUACCACAUUCCCGACGCGGGGAGGUAGUGACGAAAAAUAACAAUGCAGGACUCGUUCGAGGCCCUGUAAUUGGAAUGAGUACACUUUAAAAGCUUUAACGAGUAUCCAUUGGAGGGCAAGUCUGGUGCCAGCAGCCGCGGUAAUUCCAGCUCCAAAAGUAUAUAUUUAAGUUGUUGCGGUU